rnacentral:rRNA from 1 species
UACGAAGGGGGGCUAGCGUUGCUCGGAAUGACUGGGCGUAAAGGGCGCGUAGGCGGUUCGUACAGUCAGACGUGAAAUUCCUGGGCUUAACCUGGGGGCUGCAUACGAGACGUAUGGGCUUGAGUGCGGAAGAGGGUCGUGGAAUUCCCAGUGUAGAGGUGAAAUUCGUAGAUAUUGGGAAGAACACCGGUGGCGAAGGCGGCGACCUGGUCCGUGACUGACGCUGAGGCGCGAAAGCGUGGGGAGCAAACAGG